UACAGAUCGCCGGCAACUUCGCUCCGGUGCCGGAACAGCCCGUUCGGCAUAGUCUUCCGGUUACAGGGACAAUCCCCGAUUGCAUUAACGGGGUUUAUGUCCGUAAUGGUGCUAAUCCGCUCUUUGAACCAGUAGCAGGUCACCACCUUUUUGAUGGCGACGGCAUGAUUCAUGCCGUCACCAUCGAUAAUAGCUCAGUGAGCUAUUCUUGCCGUUUCACUGAAACGCAAAGAUUAGUCCAAGAACGUGAAUUGGGUCGCCCUGUUUUUCCAAAAGCCAUUGGUGAACUUCAUGGCCAUUCU
rnacentral:lncRNA from 1 species